rnacentral:rRNA from 1 species
GAGUUUGAUCCUGGCUCAGAUUGAACGCUGGCGGCAUGCUUUACACAUGCAAGUCGAACGGCAGCGGGGGCUUCGGCCUGCCGGCGAGUGGCGAACGGGUGAGUAAUGCAUCGGAACGUGCCCAUGUCGUGGGGGAUAACGUAGCGAAAGCUACGCUAAUACCGCAUACGCCCUGAGGGGGAAAGCGGGGGAUUCUUCGGAACCUCGCGCGAUUGGAGCGGCCGAUGUCGGAUUAGCUAGUAGGUGAGGUAAAGGCUCACCUAGGCGACGAUCCGUAGCGGGUCUGAGAGGAUGAUCCGCCACACUGGGACUGAGACACGGCCCAGACUCCUACGGGAGGCAGCAGUGGGGAAUUUUGGACAAUGGGCGCAAGCCUGAUCCAGCCAUGCCGCGUGAGUGAAGAAGGCCUUCGGGUUGUAAAGCUCUUUCGGCCGGGAAGAAAUCGUGGUCUCUAACAUAGGCCAUGGAUGACGGUACCGGACUAAGAAGCACCGGCUAACUACGUGCCAGCAGCCGCGGUAAUUCC